UACGUAGGGUGCGAGCGUUGUCCGGAAUUAUUGGGCGUAAAGAGCUCGUAGGCGGUUUGUCGCGUCUGCUGUGAAAAUCCGGGGCUCAACCCCGGACUUGCAGUGGGUACGGGCAGACUGGAGUGUGGUAGGGGAGACUGGAAUUCCUGGUGUAGCGGUGGAAUGCGCAGAUAUCAGGAGGAACACCGAUGGCGAAGGCAGGUCUCUGGGCCACUACUGACGCUGAGAAGCGAAAGCAUGGGGAGCGAACAGG
rnacentral:rRNA from 1 species